AACGAACGCUGGCGGCAUGCCUAACACAUGCAAGUCGAACGAGACCUUCGGGUCUAGUGGCGCACGGGUGUGUAACGCGUGGGAACCUGCACUUAGGUUCGGAAUAACUCCCCGAAAGGGGUGCUAAUACCGGAUAAUGUCUUCGGACCAAAGAUUUAUCGCCUUUGGUUGGGCCCGCGUUGGAUUAGCUAGUUGGUAGGGUAAAAGCCUACCAAGGCGACAAUCCAUAGCUGGUCUGAGAGGAUGAUCAGCCACACUGGGACUGAGACACGGCCCAGACUCCUACGGGAAGCAGCAGUGGGGAAUAGUGGACAAUGGGCGGAAGCCUGAUCCAGCAAUGCCGCGUGAGUGAUGAAGGCCUGAGGGUUGUAAAGCUCUUUUACCCGGGAUGAUAAUGACAGUACCGGGAGAAUAAGCGCCGGCUAACUCCGUG
rnacentral:rRNA from 1 species